AUGAUUGCCGAGUGGGAUGAAGAGAACACUAGGAUCGUUACCAACUUGAUGGUCACGCAAGUGAAGGCUGGAAAUAGGCCAAACAAAAUCUUGACCCCUAGUGCAUCUGAGGAAGUGGCAUUGCAAUUCAAAGUGAGAACUGGAUUGGACUACACGAGCCACCAAAUGAAAAACAAAUGGGAUAAGCUGAAAGCAGAUUACGCUUUAUUCAAGAAGCUCAAGCUAAAAGAGACCGGAGGGGGAUGGGACUUUGUUCUCAACACUGUCAAACAAGAUAAGGAGUGGUGGAAGAAAGCAAAAAUUGUGAGUUGUCAUGUUUCUGGAUUGCAUUUAUUUUUAAUAAACCAAAAAUUGUGA
rnacentral:rRNA from 1 species